AUGAACGCUGGCGGCGUGCCUAAUACAUGCAAGUCGAGCGAACAGACGAGGAGCUUGCUCCUCUGACGUUAGCGGCGGACGGGUGAGUAACACGUGGAUAACCUACCUAUAAGACUGGGAUAACUUCGGGAAACCGGAGCUAAUACCGGAUAAUAUAUUGAACCGCAUGGUUCAAUAGUGAAAGACGGUUUUGCUGUCACUUAUAGAUGGAUCCGCGCCGCAUUAGCUAGUUGGUAAGGUAACGGCUUACCAAGGCAACGAUGCGUAGCCGACCUGAGAGGGUGAUCGGCCACACUGGAACUGAGACACGGUCCAGACUCCUACGGGAGGCAGCAGUAGGGAAUCUUCCGCAAUGGGCGAAAGCCUGACGGAGCAACGCCGCGUGAGUGAUGGAGGUCUUCGGAUCGUAAAACUCUGUUAUUAGGGAAGAACAAAUGUGUAAGUAACUAUGCACGUCUUGACGGUACCUAAUCAGAAAGCCACGGCUAACUACGUG
rnacentral:rRNA from 1 species